GGGGUUGUAGUUUAACCAGGUAGAAUACGUGGUUCCAAACCAUGAGAUUUGGGUUCAAAUCCCAGCUACCCCA
rnacentral:tRNA from 1 species